UUUACAUAGGAUCUUGCUCGGAUUAUGAGCCCCCUCUACGUUGUAGUCAAUACAAAAAAAAAACUAUGUUCAAGGCCAAGAUUACAGAGGAGCCCGUCCUGUGCCAGUUUUGGCAAGAUGUGGAAACGAGCUUUACAAGCAGAUGCAAACGAAGCCGGGCGAACGGCAGUAGUUUUUCGGAAACGAAACGGGAGUACGAUAUACAAUUACAGUGUUUCAUUUGCCUAAAUCACCAGCUAUUGUUUCUCCAUAGAAGGUCAAGCAAAAGCGGUCGCCAAUGUAACAAUCACCAAGUACACAAGUACAAAAAUUCACAAGAAAGCUAGCCAAUUAUUAAAGGAUCUUAUAUACCAAGUGCCAGCUGAAGG